rnacentral:rRNA from 1 species
GUUUAUGGCCUGGCUACCCUGAACACACCUGAUCUUGGAAGCUAAGCAGGGUUGGGCCUGGUUAGUACUUGGAUGGGAGACCACCUAGGAAUCUUGGGUGCUGUAGGUG